UACGAAGGGAGCUAGCGUUGUUCGGAAUCACUGGGCGUAAAGCGCACGUAGGCGGAUGUGUCAGUCAGGGGUGAAAUCCCGGAGCUCAACUUCGGAACUGCCCUUGAUACAGCACGUCUUGAGUCCGGAAGAGGUGGGUGGAAUUCCCGGUGUAGCGGUGAAAUGCGCAGAUAUCAGGAAGAACACCCGUGGCUAAGGCGGCUCUCUAGUACGGUACUGACGCUGAGACGCGAAAGCGUGGGGAGCGAACAGG
rnacentral:rRNA from 1 species